rnacentral:rRNA from 1 species
AUUGAACGCUGGCGGCAUGCCUUACACAUGCAAGUCGAACGGCAGCGGACCUUCGGGUGCCGGCGAGUGGCGAACGGGUGAGUAAUAUAUCGGAACGUACCUUUCAGUGGGGGAUAACGUAGCGAAAGUUACGCUAAUACCGCAUAUUCUGUGAGCAGGAAAGCAGGGGAUCGCAAGACCUUGCGCUGAUUGAGCGGCCGAUAUCAGAUUAGCUAGUUGGUGAGGUAAAGGCUCACCAAGGCGACGAUCUGUAGCGGGUCUGAGAGGAUGAUCCGCCACACUGGAACUGAGACACGGUCCAGACUCCUACGGGAGGCAGCAGUGGGGAAUUUUGGACAAUGGGCGCAAGCCUGAUCCAGCCAUGCCGCGUGAGUGGAGAAGGCCUUCGGUU